UCCUAUUAAACCUGGUUCUUCUUGAGAAGAGAGAACUGUGCUGUGUUCAUUGUGGAAUACUGCACAAUUCACCCAGGGCCUAACUCUCUGCAUCUGCUCCUGUAUGGAAACCUCUCAAAGGCUUUCAGAGCUGUGACUGGACAGGAGAGAAGGGGUGGACAUCAUCUUCUGGGAAUUCAAGUAAGAACUGCUCUUUGGGACCCUUAACUGCAAUCAGAGAAAGAUUGUAACAUGUAGAAAGGAGCUUACAAGACAAAACAACAACAACAACAACACUCUUAUCCAAAAAGAGACCUUCAUUGCCAUCAUCCCUGAAGGCAUUUUUCCAGCUCCUCCUUGAAUACUUUCAGUGUUGAGCCAUUCAUUGUGUCCAGUGGUAGUCAACUCCAAUUUUGGAUGCACUAAAACCUUCUUCUGAAUACUGAAUAAGUCUGCCUCUCUACCAUUUGCCUCUGUUAAUCUAAAUAUACAAACUUCAAAUGGAAACUUUCUCAAUUGUCCCAAGUAUUUAUCUGAUUCUUCUAUGUGUCCCA
rnacentral:lncRNA from 1 species